UACGUAGGGGGCAAGCGUUGUCCGGAUUUAUUGGGCGUAAAGAGCGUGUAGGCGGCUAGGUAGGUCCGUUGUGAAAACUCGAGGCUCAACCUCGAGACGCCGAUGGAAACCAUCUAGCUAGAGUCCGGAAGAGGAGAGUGGAAUUCCUGGUGUAGCGGUGAAAUGCGCAGAUAUCAGGAGGAACACCAAUGGCGAAGGCAGGCUACUGGACAGAAGGUGACGCUGAGGCGCGAAAGUGUGGGGAGCGAACCGG
rnacentral:rRNA from 1 species